CAGCUGUAUCCUGAUUUCAAGAAUUUCAUGUUGGAAUAAAAGAGCAUUUUUGAAACCAUUGUGUUACUUCAAACAGAUCCAUAAUGGUCCCUCAGCAAACCAUUUUCAGAAGACUUGUAUUUAUGGAUGAAAGUUUGAGUUAGAAGAUUAGGAAAAAUCUGCCAUGCAUAUUUACUGAAGGACUGUUCAUGGAGUGACUGGAUUUAUAUGCUCCAAAACAGAAGAGCAGAAAUCUAACCGACGCAAAGACCAUGCUUCUUAAUAAAGAGUUAAGAAUUUUCUUACAUUUCCA